rnacentral:tRNA from 1 species
GGGCGUGGCUCAGUGGCAGAGCGCUCGCCUCACAUGUGUGAGGCGCUGGGUUCGAUCCCCAGCACCACG